GAUGAACGCUGGCGGCGCGCCUAACACAUGCAAGUCGAACGAUUAAAGCACCUUCGGGUGUGUAUAAAGUGGCGAACGGCUGAGUAACACGUGGGCAACCUGCCCCUUUCAUUGGGAUAGCCACGGGAAACCGUGGAUAAUACCGAAUACUUCGAGACUUCCGCAUGGAAGACUCGAGAAAGCUCCGGCGGAGAGGGAUGGGCCCGCGGCCUGUUAGCUUGUUGGUGGGGUAACGGCCUACCAAGGCAAUGAUGGGUAGCUGGGUUGAGGGACCGACCAGCCAGAUGGGGCCGGGGAAAGGGCCCAGACCCUUAGGGGGGGGAGGGGGGGGGAAUUUUGCAAAAGGGGCGAAGGCCGGAUGCAGCGACGCCGGGGGGGGGAUGAAGGCCUUCGGGUGGUAAACCGUUUUCAGCAGGGACGAGGGGAAAGUGCGGGAACCGGAAGAAGAACCCCCGGCAAACUCCGG
rnacentral:rRNA from 1 species